rnacentral:lncRNA from 1 species
AAUAAUUGUGGACACAAGUCAUAAUGGGUAUGAAAUAGAUAGUAUUUUGAGAGAAAAUCCACCUUUUAUACACUCAUAAUUUAUAAAGAUUAAUCACAAUUUUUAGACGUGACAUAGUCGUACCAAUAAUGGUAAAGAAAAAUAUAGAUUGGAUUAAUUCAAUGGACCAGAGUACGCAGAUGAGGCAAUAAGUAACAGACAACACACACUAGUGGUAAUCAUCUCACGGACCAAAACGUGCAAAAU